GCGCCAUUAGCUCAGCUGGUAGAGCAUCCGACUCUUAAUCGGACGGUCCAAGGUUCGAACCCUUGAUGGCGUACCA
rnacentral:tRNA from 1 species